rnacentral:rRNA from 1 species
UCUACGGGGGGCAGCAGUGGGGAAUAUUGGGCAAUGGGCGCAAGCCUGACCCAGCAACGCCGCGUGAAGGAAGAAGGCUUUCGGGUUGUAAACUUCUUUUCUCAGGGACGAAGAAAGUGACGGUACCUGAGGAAUAAGCCACGGCUAACUACGUGCCAGCAGCCGCGGUAAUACGUAGGUGGCAAGCGUUAUCCGGAUUUAUUGGGUGUAAAGGGCGUGUAGGCGGGAGCGCAAGUCAGAUGUGAAAACUCAGGGCUCAAUCAUGAGCUUGAAUUGGAAACUGUGUUUCGUGAGUGGUGGAGUGGCAAUCGGAAUGUCGUGUGUAGCGGUGAAAUGCGUAGAUAUACGGAGGAACACCAGUGGCGAAGGCGGAUUGCUGGACAGUAACUGACGCUGAGGCGCGAAAGCGUGGGGAGCAAACAGGAUUAGAUACCCUUGUAGUC